GACGAACGCUGGCGGCGUGCUUAACACAUGCAAGUCGAACGGAAAGGCCCUGCUUUUGUGGGGUGCUCGAGUGGCGAACGGGUGAGUAACACGGGAGUAACCUGCCCUUGACUUUGGGAUAACUUCAGGAAACUGGGGCUAAUACCGGAUAGGAGCUCCUGCUGCAUGGUGGGGGUGGAAAGUUUCGGCGGUUGGGGAUGGAAUCGCGGCUUAUCAGCUUGUUGGUGGGGUAGGGGCUUACCAAGGCUUUGACGGGUAGCCGGCCUGAGAGGGUGACCGGCCACAUUGGGACUGAGAUACGGCCCAGACUCCUACGGGAGGCAGCAGUGGGGAAUAUUGCACAAUGGGCGGAAGCCUGAUGCAGCAACGCCGCGUGCGGGAUGACGGCCUUCGGGUUGUAAACCGCUUUCGCCUGUGACGAAGCGUGAGUGACGGUAAUGGGUAAAGAAGCACCGGCUAACUACGUG
rnacentral:rRNA from 1 species